rnacentral:rRNA from 1 species
AUUGAACGCUGGCGGCAGGCCUAACACAUGCAAGUCGAGCGAGCGGCGGACGGGUGAGUAAUGCCUAGGAAUCUGCCUGGUAGCGGGGGCUAACUACUGGACACUGUAGCUCAUCCCGCAUACCCUCGGAUGUGCCCAGAUGGGAUUAGCUAGUAGGUGGGGUAAAGGCUCACCUAGGCGACGAUCCCUAGCUGGUCUGAGAGGAUGACCAGCCACACUGGAACUGAGACACGGUCCAGACUCCUACGGGAGGCAGCAGUGGGGAAUAUUGCACAAUGGGCGCAAGCCUGAUGCAGCCAUGCCGCGUGUAUGAAGAAGGCCUUCGGGUUGUAAAGUACUUUCAGCGGGGAGGCGUUACCCGCAGAAGAAGCACCGGCUAACUCCGUGCCAGCCGCCGCGGUAAUUC